GUCCCAGCCGUAAACUUUGUCUACUCGGUGGUGGGUGUGUCGAUCCAUUCACUGCCCAAGCUAACGUGAUAAGUAGACCGCCUGGGGGAGUAUGCGCGCAAGCGUGAAACUCAAAGGAAUUGACGGGGCCGGCACAAGCGGUGGAGCAUGUGGUUUAAUUCGAUAGUAAGCGAGGAACCUUACCUGGGUUUGGACAUGCACCGGAUCGUUGUCGAAAGGCGAAAUACCCUUCGGGGCCGGUGCACAGGUGCUGCAUGGCUGUCGU
rnacentral:rRNA from 1 species